rfam:Ciona savignyi cont_20583, whole genome shotgun sequence.
GACGAGGUGGCCCGAGUGGUUAAGGCGAUGGACUGCUAAUCCAUUGUGCUUUGCUCGCAUGGGUUCGAAUCCAAUCCUCGUCG